AAGAAGAGAGAAUGCCGGAAUGAGUAGCGAGAGUAAGGUGAGAAUCCUUACGGCCGUAUAUCCAAGGUUUCCAGGGUAAAGCUGAUCUGCCCUGGGGAAGUCGGGACCUAAGGCGAGGCCGAGAGGCGUAGCCGAUGGACAACAGGUUGAGAUUCCUGUACUACAGUAUGACAGAACUGUGGGGACGCAGAAGGAGAGCACUACCUGGAAUGGAAUCCAGGGGCAAGCACAGGAGGGGUACGGCUGGAAAAACCGCCGUGCAACCCAAAGGUGUGACGCAUACCGAACUAAAGUAGGGAAAUGUGUGAGCCGGCUGCCGAGAAAAGCCGCUAUUGUUUGUACUGUACCCGUACCGUAAACCGACACAGGUGGAGGAGGAGAGAAUCCUAAGGCCGACGGAAGAAGCAUUGCUAAGGAACUCGGCAAAAUGACCCUGUAACUUCGGGAGAAAGGGUGCCUCGAAAGAGGCCGCAGAGAAUAGGCCCAAGCAACUGUUUAGCAAAAACACAGGUCUAUGCAAAACCGCAAGGUGAAGUAUAUGGGCUGACGCCUGCCCGGUGCUGGAAGGUUAAGGGGAGAUGUCAGGAGACGAAGCAUCGAACUUAAGCCCCAGUAAACGGCGGCCGUAACAAUAACGGUCCUAAGGUAGCGAAAUUCCUUGUCGGGUAAGUUCCGACCCGCACGAAAGGCGUAAUGAUUUGGGCACUGUCUCGGCAAUGCAUCCGGUGAAAUUGAAGUGCCAGUGAAGAUGCUGGCUACCCGCGCCAGGACGGAAAGACCCCAUGGAGCUUUACUCCAGCUUGAUACUGGGAUUCGGUAUUGUAUGUACAGGAUAGGUGGGAGGCUGAGAAAUGGUGACGCCAGUCGCCAUGGAGCCGCUGUUGGGAUACCACCCUUGCAGUACUGGAUUUCUAACCAGCAGCCGUGAUCCGGCUGGGGGACAAUGUCAGGUGGGGAGUUUGACUGGGGCGGUCGCCUCCGAAAGGGUAUCGGAGGCGCUCAAAGGUUCCCUCAGAAUGGUCGGAAACCAUUCGAAGAGUGCAAAGGCAGAAGGGAGCUUGACUGCGACACCGACGGGUGGGGCAGGUACGAAAGUAGGACUUAGUGAUCCGGUGGUAUUAAGUGGGAAUGCCAUCGCUCAACGGAUAAAAGCUACCCUGGGAUAACAGGCUUAUCACUCCCAAGAGUUCACAUCGACGGAGUGGUUUGGCACCUCGAUGUCGGCUCAUCGCAUCCUGGGGCUGUAGUAGGUCCCAAGGGUUGGGCUGUUCGCCCAUUAAAGCGGUACGCGAGCUGGGUUCAGAACGUCGUGAGACAGUUCGGUCCCUAUCCGGCGUGGGCGUAGGAUAUUUGAGAGGAGCUGACCUUAGUACGAGAGGACCGGGUUGGACUGACCUCUGGUGCACCGGUUGUCAUGCCAAUGGCACAGCCGGGUAGCCAAGUCGGGAAGGGAUAAACGCUGAAGGCAUCUAAGCGUGAAGCCCCCCUCAAGAUGAGAUAUCCCCCGCAUAAGCGGUAAGACCCCUUGAAGACGACGAGGUAGAUAGGGCAGAGGUGGAAGUGCAGUAAUGUAUGGAGCUGACUGCUACUAAUAGGUCGAAGGCUA
rnacentral:rRNA from 1 species